rnacentral:rRNA from 1 species
AUGGGGUCGAGGUACGAGGUGGAGGUGACGGUGGGCUCGGCGCGGGACCUCAAGAACGUCAACUGGCGCAACGGCGACCUGCAGCCCUACGCCGUGCUCUGGGUCGACGACGGCCCCAAGUGCUCCUCCCGCGUCGACCUGGACAACGGCGAGAGCCCCGAGUGGGACGAGAAGCUCACCGUCCCGCUCCCGCCGUCCACCACCCGCCUCGAGGACGCGGUGCUCCACAUCGACGUCGUCCACGCCAACGCCGCCGAGGGCACCAAGCCGCUCGUGGGGUCCGCGCGCCUGCCGCUGCGCGACGUCCUCGACGACGCCGGGCUCGGCGGCCGAGCGUCCCGCUCGCUCCGCCUCAAGCGCCCCUCGGGCCGGCCCCAGGGCCGCGUCGACGUCCGCGUCGCCGUCCGCGAGACCGCCCGCUACUACGACCCCGCCUACCCGCCGCCCUACGGCCAGAGCCAGUCCCAGUCCCGCGACCCCUACGCGGCCCCGGCGCCGUACGGCUCGGGCGGGUACGGGUACGGCCAGCAGCAGCAGCCGUACGCCGCGCCGCCGUCCGGCUACCCGGCCGCCUACGGCGCGGCCGUUCCCCCGCAGUCCGCCGGGUACCCUGCUGCCUACGGCGGCGCGCAGCCGGCGUACGGCGCUGCGGCUCCUGCCCCCGCGUACGGGUCGGGCGGGUACGGGUCGGGGUCGAUGAAUGACCCUGCGAAGAAGAAGGGGAUGGGGAUGGGGGCGGGGCUGGCGGUGGGCGCGGCGGCGGGGGUGCUGGGCGGGCUGGCGCUGGCGGAAGGGGCGAGCUACCUGGAGGACAAGUUCGAGGACGACGUGGCGGAGAAGGUGGAGGACGACCUGGCGGGCGGCGGCUACGACGACGACGACUACUAG